GACGAACGCUGGCGGCGUGCUUAACACAUGCAAGUCGAACGCUGAAGCUCAGCUUGCUGGGUGGAUGAGUGGCGAACGGGUGAGUAACACGUGAGUAACCUGCCCUCUUCUUUGGGAUAACGCCCGGAAACGGGUGCUAAUACUGGAUAUUCACUGAUUCUCGCAUGGGGGUUGGUGGAAAGGUUUUUUCUGGUGGGGGAUGGGCUCGCGGCCUAUCAGCUUGUUGGUGGGGUGAUGGCCUACCAAGGCUUUGACGGGUAGCCGGCCUGGGAGGGUGACCGGGCACAUUGGGACUGAGAUACGGCCCAGACUCCUACGGGAGGCAGCAGUGGGGAAUAUUGCACAAUGGGCGAAAGCCUGAUGCAGCGACGCCGCGUGAGGGAUGGAGGCCUUCGGGUUGUAAACCUCUUUCGCUCAUGGUCAAGCCGCAGCUUUGGGUUGUGGUGAGGGUAGUGGGUAAAGAAGCGCCGGCUAACUACGUG
rnacentral:rRNA from 1 species